rnacentral:misc_RNA from 1 species
GAUGAAGAACGUAGCGAAAUGCGAUAAGUAGUGUGAAUUGCAGAAUUCAGUGAAUCAUCGAAUCUUUGAACGCACAUUGCGCCCCUUGGUAUUCCAUGGGGCAUGCCUGUUCGAGCGUCAUUUGUACCUUCAAGCUUUGCUUGGUGUUGGGUGUUUGUCCCGAGGGACUCGCCUUAAAGUAAUUGGCAGCCAGUGUUUGGUUUUGAAGCGCAGCACAAGUCGCGAUUCAAGGCUACACGCCCGCUUCCACAAGCCUUUUUUCACUUUUGACCUCGGAUCAGGUAGGGAUACCCGCUGAACUUAAGCAUAUCAAAAGCGGAGGA